rnacentral:rRNA from 1 species
GGCGAACGCUGGCGGCGUGCCUUAGACAUGCAAGUCGAGCGGUAGGCGUUCCUUCGGGGGCGCCGAGAGCGGCGAACGGCGGAGUAACACGUGGGUAACCUGCCCCGAAGACUGGGAUAACUCGGGGAAACUCGGGCUAAUACCGGAUGUGGAUGCUUUGGCUUUGGCUGAGGCAUCUAAAGGGUUUUCCGCUUCGGGAUGGGCCCGCGGCCUAUCAGGUAGUUGGUGAGGUAACGGCUCACCAAGCCUACGACGGGUAGCCGGUCUGAGAGGAUGAUCGGCCCGAGGGGCACUGAGACACGGGCCCCACUCCUACGGGAGGCAGCAGUCGGGAAUUUUGGGCAAUGGGCGCAAGCCUGACCCAGCGACGCCGCGUGGAGGACGAAGCCCUUCGGGGUGUAAACUCCUUUUAGUGGGGACGAACGCAGACGGUACCCACAGAAAAAGCCCCGGCUAACUACGUGCCAGCAGCCGCGGUAAUACGUAGGGGGCGAGCGUUGCCCGAAUUUACUGGGCGUAAAGCGCACGUAGGCGGCUCCGUAAGUCUGGUGUGAAAUCUCACGGCUCAACCGGGAGGCUGCACCAGAUACUGCGGAGCUCGAGGGCGGGAGAGGAGAUUGGAAUUCCCGGUGUAGCGGUGAAAUGCAUUGAUAUCGGGAGGAACACCAGUGGCGAAGGCGGAUCUCUGGCCCGCUUCUGACGCUGAGGUGCGAAAGCUGGGGGAGCGAAAGGGAUUAGAUACCCCUGUAGUCCCAGCCCUAAACGAUGGGCGCUAGGUGUUGGGGGAUUAACUCUCAGCGCCGUAGCUAACGC